CCUACGGGAGGCAGCAGUGGGGGAUAUUGGACAAUGGGGGGAACCCUGAUCCAGCGACGCCGCGUGAGUGAAGAAGUAUCUCGGUAUGUAAAGCUCUAUCAGCAGGGAAGAAGAUAUGACGGUACCUGAGUAAGAAGCCCCGGCUAUCUACGUGCCAGCCGCCGCGGCAAUACGUAGGGGGCAAGCGUUAUCCGGAAUUACUGGGGGGAAAGGGAGCGUAGACGGUGAUGUAAGUCUGUAGUGAAAGGCGGGGGCCCAACCCCCGGACUGCUCUGGAAACUGUGUGACUGGAGUGCAGGAGAGGGAAGCGGAAUUCCUGGGGUAGCGGUGAAAUGCGUAGAGAUUAGGAGGAACACCAGUGGCGAAGGCGGCUCACUGGACUGUAACUGACGUUGAGGCUCGAAAGCGUGGGGAGCAAACAGGAUUAGAUACCCGAGUAGUC
rnacentral:rRNA from 1 species